rnacentral:rRNA from 1 species
AGCAAAUAGAUACCCGGGUAGUCCUGGCCCUAAACGAUGAGUGCUUGGUGUGGCGGGUAUCGAUCCCCGCCGUGCCGAAAGCUAAACGCAUUAAGCACUCCGCCUGGGGAGUACGGUCGCAAGGCUGAGACCCAAAGGAAUUGACGGGGGCCCGCACAAGCGGUGGAGCAUGUGGUUCAAUUCGACGCAACGCGAAGAACCUUACCCAGGCUUGAACUGUAGGUGUCAUUCCAUGAAAGUGGACUUCCCGCAAGGGACGCCUGCAGAGGUGCUGCAUGGCUGUCGUCAGCUCGUGUCGUGAGAUGUUGGGUUAAAGUCCCGCAACGAGCGCAACCCUUGUCCGCUGUUGCCAUCAGGUAAACGCUGGGCACUCUGCGGAGACUGCCGGUGACAAACCGGAGGAAGGUGGGGAUGACGUCAAGUCAGCAUGGCCUUUAUGUCUGGGGCUACACACGUGCUACAAUGGCCGG